CAGGUACUCCCUCCGUCCGGAAAUACUUGUCAUCAAAAUGAACAAAAGGGGAUGUAUCUAGACGUAUUUUAGUUCUAGAUACAUCCCUUUUUAUUCAUUUUGAUGACAAGUAUUUUCGGACAGAGAGAGUAAGAG
rnacentral:pre_miRNA from 1 species